GCCCUUAUGGCUCAGUGGUAGAGCGCAUCACUAGUAAUCCACCACCAGUUGGUUCAUUACACCCAAUGAUGAGGUCCUAGGUUCGAUCCCUGGUGAGGGCA
rfam:Magnaporthe oryzae 70-15 chromosome 3, whole genome shotgun sequence.